rnacentral:rRNA from 1 species
GUGUCAGCAGCCGCGGUAAUACGAGGGGUGCAAGCGUUAUUCGGCAUUAUUGGGCGUAAAGGGUGUGUAGACGGCUUUUUAAGUCAACUGUUAAAUUCUUCGGCCUAACCGGAGGUCAGCGGUAGAUACUGAUUAGCUAGAGGGUGGAAGAGAGAAGUGGAAUUCUCGGAGUAGCGGUAAAAUGCGUAGAUCUCGAGAGGAACACCGAUGGCGAAGGCAGCUUCUUGGUCCAUUUCUGACGUUGAGACACGAAAGCGUGGGGAGCAAACAGGAUUAGAUACCCGUGUAGUCC